GUCUUUUCGCCUCUACAAUCAAGCUCUCCCAAUAAACGUGUGCAGAAGGAUCCUGUUGCAGCGUCGUUCUUGCUGGUCGUGUCCGGUGCGCACAAGAACUACUCUACCUGCUUGCUGGCAGAGGGUUAUAUGGCCCUCAUUCUAUAGAUGUUCUCUACCUGUUCUCUAAGGAAGACUUGGUCCUGGAUCUGAGGUGGAGCACACUGAGGAGAGUCCAGAGGAAAUCAGGUCUCUAUUAUUAAAAGAUGCCAGACUUCGGACAAGAGGAUUACUUGCGAAGGAGACUUUAAUCUACUGACAGUGCUUUACAAUAUUGCUGCCAAUAUUCUAAGGUAAAACUUGGUAACUUUGUGACUUGAUUUAAGGUUUAUUAAUCAAAUCUAUUUUAAAUUAUAUAUAUCUUUUAUACAUAAAAUGCCAAAUAUCUAAAUAUACUUAGAAAUUAUUGAGCAAGUACAUUCCUUACCUUUAUUCAUCUUGCAUUAAUGUUUUUAUUACUCCUUCCUAUAAGACUCCAUACCUAGUUUCCCUAAAACUCUUAUUUCCUUAUUUACAUGAAUCUUUUCUAUUCCUACCUCACUUUAAACUAACACUAGCCUUUUCUCAGAUUUCCUUUUCAUCCAAAAAGCCUUCUAAAAUAUCCUAAAUAUCAUUUCUUUUGUUGCUGUGAUAAAAAUACCCUGACAAAGGCAACUCAGGGAUUGAGGUAGAGGUGGGAAUAGUGGUUUAUUUCAUCUUACAACUCCAGGCUAUAGUCCAUCAUUGUAGGAAAACCAAGGCAGGAAAUUCAAAGAGCUACUCACAUUAUAGCCAGGAACAGAAAGAAAUAAAUGCAUACAUGCUCACGUGAUUCCUUGCUUGUAAUCAAUCUGACUUCUCCUUUCUUGUUACAGUUCAGAACCCCUUGCCUAGGGAAUGGUGCUACCCUCAGUGGGCUGUGCCUUUCCACAUCAAUGAACUUAAUUGAAACAUCCUCCACAGACAUGUGCACAGGCCAACCCAAUACAGAUAUUCUCUCACUGAAACUCUCUCCCUGGGUGAUUCUAGAUUGUGUCAAGUUGACAAUGAAAGCUAACUGUCACAUUAAGUUAAUGUAGAAUGCACAUGUGUAUUAAAGAACCAGUUUGUUUCAAUUAUUCUAAGAAAUAACUGAUAUGUGGCCAUCAAAUAGUUUUAUAUUUACUCCUUAUUCUAGUGAUCUCUCUCAAAUCUUCAAAGAAUGUUCACUUAGGAAAAAAAAAGAAACCUAUGUAUCUUUUUAUUUUAGGAUAAGUAAGGCAUUGGGUAAAGGGCAAACAUUUCCACACUAGUUAGAGGAAUUAUAUAUAGCAAGGCUAGGAAUACUUCUAACACACUCACUACAAAAAUGUCACUGGUAUCAAAUCUUCCUUGAAGCAAACUGUGACUUAUCAAUAUAAUAAUCAUUACUACAUAAUUUUUACUAAUAAUGAGCUAAUGAUAAAAACAAAAAACACUCUUACUACCAGACCUACGUUCCAUAGUAUAUCUUCUCUCCUUAGUCCUUGCUUCUAGAGCUACACUUCUAGCCAGAUAAAACAUUUUGAAACAUCACUCUUUAGUCCACGAGAAGGAAGACUUCUGAAUCAAGUGCAGAGUAGCUACAGAAAUCAAGACAGUCAUUCACAAUGCAAACAUACGUUCUGUGCAGUUGGAGUUAAACAACAUAGAGUGCUGCAUUAUUUACUGUCAAGUAAAAUAAGUUUCAAUGACCCAGUGGAUCACUAGGCCAAGGAUUCCAAAUGUCUGUUGUAGUCUGUUGUAAAGCAUCUAAAAACACGUGUUUAGAAUCUUCAUUGCCCAUCAAUUACUAAUUUGUUUUAAAGUCUGAGUCAUAAGCAGGUUUUUCAACUGGUCUAGCAGCCAGAAAAAGCACCAGGUUCUGUUUCUCUUUCAUUACUCUAACACUUUGCCAAACUUCAACCUUGUGAAAGCUUUUUCAAUGACAUUUUAACAGUCUGAAUACUGGCCAUCCAAAAAUACUACACCCCAAUCCCUGGAACAAAUGACACCUUUUUUCUCUCUUUUUCCUCCUUCCCUUUCUUCCUUUUGCUCCGGUCCCCACUCACUCAGGCCCAUGGGUUCUUUAUUUGUUUCUCAUUACAGAUGGUUGUGAGCCACAAUGUGGUUGCUGGGAUUUGAACUCAUGACCUCUGGAAGAGCAGUCAGUACUCUUAACUGCUGAGCCAUCUCACCAGCCCCACAAAUGACACUUUCUAAGGCAAAAAGAGCCCUUGCAGAUAUGGUUAAGAACACUGAUAUAUGGAAACAAUCUCAUAUUAUCCCCAUGGGCACUAACUGCCAUCACAAGUGUCCUUGUAAAAAAACAUUAGAGGGAGAUUUAUUAAGGAGGAAAUAAUGUGAAGAUGCAGACAAAGGUUGGCCUGGCAGUAGAUAAACACCAAAAGCUGGAAAAGUUAAGGAACAUAUUUUCUUCUAAAAUCUGUAGGUGUGUAGCUCUGCUGCUACCUUGAUUAGGAUCAAGUUUAGAUAUCUAGGAUCUAGAACCAUGAACAAAUACAUCUCUGAAACUUGAAGCUACUUAAAUUGGGUAAUCUGGAUGUACAUAACAGAAAACACAGAAAAUAGCUAUUACUAGUAUAAAAUUACUUUAAAAUGAAAAGAAACUAAUAUAAAGGAACACUUGUAUUGCAAGAUAUUGGUAAUUACUAUGUGUGUACUUAUAUGAAUAUGUUAAAAAAUAUAUUCAAAAUACAGACUUUAAAAUUAUCUUUUUUAUACAAACUCAUUCUUUUACCAGCUAUUACUUAUUAGUAACAGACUUGGACUAAAUGAUUAGCCAAGACUUAAACGUGUUAGAUGGAGCUGAUUGUAGUGGCCUUCAUGCAGUCCCAACACUUGGGAGACUCCAGCAACAGGAUUGCUGCCAUCUCAAGGCCAGCCUCUGCUAAGUAGUAAAUUCCAGUAAAGCCUCAGUUAUGUAAUAAGCCUGCCUCAGAACAAACAAGUAGGCUCCUGAAAUGGCUCAGCUGCUCUAAGAGCACAUAUUAUUCUUCCAAAGGGCCUGAGUUUCGUCCCAGCACCCAUGUGGAGCAACUUACAACUGCCUUAAUUUUAGCUCCAAUGGAUCUGACCCCCUUCUUCUGGCCUCCAUGAACCUCACUCCCCAGAAUACACAUCAUCAUAAAUUAAAUAGCUAUUUAAAAAAAAAAUCCCUAGUAGAAAUGAAAAAUUCAAAACUGUACAGAAAACCUAGCAAAUAAAAAAGAAUGAAUAUAACUCCAGAUAAAAAAGUAGUUGCAGCUACCACCCGCCUAGUUCAGCUAAGCAAAAUCAUAAUAUAGUAAUAUUAUAAAGAGAGGUUAUAGGAUGGAAAGGUACAUUUGUAAAGGCAAGAGGGAAAAAAAAAAGAGAGCCAAAUCCUCAGCUUUCCUAAUGGGACAUCAAUAACACUCUCUACCAUAUGCUUCUGUGUGUUAACAGUUUCCUCUGAGAUUGAAAUAUUCGGUCCCCAUCCUGCAGGGAAGUCUUUAAACAGGAUGGUAAAAAACUCAAAAUAGCUGAACUGACCAGAUUCACUAGGCCUCUCCCAAAGUAAGCUAUCAAGUCUGAGCAUCUACUUCUGACCAAAGCUGAGAUGCACAGAAGUGACCAGAGACUCAACCAAGCUAACUAGGGUGAGUAGCCUGUGUGUUGGAUCUCCCCAGCUAACGUUUUCUCACAGAGCAGCUUAUUAUUUGUAGGCAGCCGGGCGCCUAAAAGAUGGCGCCAGUCUCCGGUGUAACCGUAAACAACACCACUCAGCAGGCGCUAGCCUGAAUCUGGUGCCAACCCCUCCGGAGCGGGUGCAUGCAAAUUAAGGUGCUGUAGGUGCCGGCAGACUGACCAAUCCCAGGAGGACACAAAGCUUUUCCCUGUGCUGGGGUGUAUAUAAGGAGUCCUCCCUGGGUGCCAGGGGUUCCCGUAGCAUCAAGGCGUUCAUGCAAUAAAGCUGUUGAGAAGAAUCCGACCGUGUUGCGUUUUCCUUGCCGGACGAGGUGGGCGCAACAAUUAUUUAGAAACAUGAAUGUUGCUACCAAAAUAUAAAACUU
rnacentral:lncRNA from 1 species